rnacentral:lncRNA from 11 species
UAUGACUGAUAAGCUCAACCGCCCAAUGAACCCCCUGAUCUUGACACACUCCUGAUGGAUCGUGUCAUUUUCUGUGUAUUUUUGGAGGUUGACUACAAAAUCUACAAGAAGAAAAUGAACGAAUUCUUCCCCACGGAUGAGGAUAACGAAGAAGAGGCUGAAGUAAACGAGAAUGCAGAGGGAGUGGAGCAGAAAGGCCAGUCUCCAUCACCCGUGAAAUGCAAAGCAAAGCAAUCCGACGACCUGGAAGACGAUAAUGAGGGUGACAGUGACACUGAAGUGAAGCCAAGUACCGAGGAGCUGGAAAAUCAGAAUCAAGAAGAAGAUGAAGCAAAACUGACAGUUACAAACAGCUCAACAGAUGGAGGAGAGAACCUAUGCAAGGAAAAAGAAUCCUCUCAAGAUUCCAAAGCUACGCAAGAGCACAAUCUGAUGCCUCAAACAAUCUGUGAACAAGAUCAAGCUGAUGGACUUGAGGAUGAAUCUAGUGAGGUUGAAAUGAACACUCAGACAGAGUCUCAAUCCAUCAACAUGGAAACAGAAGAUGCUUUGAUAACACCGGAGGAGACAGUGAAGGAGGGAGAAACACAGGCCCCUGAAGUAGAUACAACUAAUCAAGAGAGCAAAGGGGAAGUGAAAGAAGGAGCAGACCAAGGGAAAGGAAAGCAGACUACAGAGGCAGAACAAACUGAAGGUGAUACAGAAAACAUUUCCAGUAAUGAUGUUGAAAUGAAUAGUCAGGUUGAAAACAUAGAUGAACCUAAAGAUUCCCAGACAGAAAAUUAAUCUGUAG